UUCUAAUAUGGCAGAUUAGUGCAAUGGAUUUAAGCCCCAUACAUAAAGUUUCCACUUUUUUUAGAAAA
rnacentral:tRNA from 1 species